UACAGAGGGUGCAAGCGUUUGUUCGGAAUUAUUGGGCGUAAAGGGCGCGUAGGCGGUGCGGUAAGUCUGUAGUGAAAUCUCUGGGCUCAACUCAGAGUCUGCUGCAGAAACUGCCGUGCUUGAGUGUGGGAGAGGUGAGUGGAAUUCCCGGUGUAGCGGUGAAAAUGCGUAGAUAUCGGGGAGGAACACCUGUGGCGAAAGCGGCUCACUGGACCACAAC
rnacentral:rRNA from 1 species